AGCAGCCGCGGUAAUUCCAGCUCCAAUAGCGUAUAUUAAAGUUGCUGCAGUUAAAAAGCUCGUAGUUGAAUUUCGGGAUCAAUAUGUCGGUCGUGCCUCGGUACGUACUGGCCUAUUGGUUUCUCCUUUCUGAAGAACCAUGAUGUCAUUUAUUUGGUGUCGUGGGAAAUCAGGACUGUUACUUUGAAAAAAUUAGAGUGUUUAAAGCAGGCUCACGCUUGAAUACAUUAGCAUGGAAUAAUGAAAUAGGACGUUUGAUUCUAUUUUGUUGGUUUCUAGGAUCGACGUAAUGAUUAAUAGGGAUAGUUGGGGGCAUUAGUAUUCAAUUGUCAGAGGUGAAAUUCUUGGAUUUAUUGAAGACUAACUACUGCGAAAGCAUUUGCCAAGGAUGUUUUCAUUAAUCAAGAACGAAAGUUAGGGGAUCGAAGACGAUCAGAUACCGUCGUAGUCUUAACCAUAAACUAUGCCGACUAGGGAUCGGAUGAUGUUAAUUUUUUUAAUGACUCAUUCGGCGCCUUAC
rnacentral:misc_RNA from 1 species